rnacentral:rRNA from 1 species
GCAAGUCGAACGCGAACGAUUCUCUUCGGAGGAUUCAGUAGAGUGGCGAACGGGUGAGUAACGCGUGGAUAAUCUACCUAUUGGUACGGGACAACAGUUGGAAACGACUGCUAAUACCGUAUAAGCUGGAAACGGGAAAGGGGGCCUCUUCUUGAAAGCUCUCGCCAGUAGAUGAGUCCGCGUUUCAUUAGCUAGACGGUGGGGUAACGGCCUACCGUGGCAACGAUGAAUAGCAGGCCUGAGAGGGUGGCC